ACGCUCGACACCUACGAGAGGCAGCAGUGGGGAAUAUUGCACAAUGGAGGAAACUCUGAUGCAGCGAUGCCGCGUGAGGGAAGAAGGUUUUCGGAUUGUAAACCUCUGUCUUUGGGGACGAUAAUGACGGUACCCAAGGAGGAAGCUCCGGCUAACUACGCGCCAGCAGCCGCGGUAAUCUGAGCGGGCUGGCAAGGC
rnacentral:rRNA from 1 species